UGGGAGAGGAUUUCACAUGAGGAAAGAAAAGGAAGGAAGUGUUGGGACAAAAGCUGAAAUAGAGACCCUGGAAGCUGGUUCUCAUCCUUCCACCAGCAGAACAAGGACCAGCAGCUGAUGGUGGGAUCAGAAAUCUUUCCCUCUGAUCUUCCUUUCACCUGACAAAAUGAAUUUCAGCCUUUGAGCACAGGUAAAAGUGGAGCAUUGUGCUAUGGGAAAUCAUCCCAGGACCUCCCAGAACAUCAGUCAUGUGGAUUUGAACAUACACCAGAAAAGAUGAAUAGGAUUCAGAGUUUAGUUCUGUAUUUCCUUGCUCAGAGUCCUAAAUCUCCUUUCCCAGUGUUGCCUCUCAAUAUAACACCUCCCACUCUCCUGCAUUUGCAAGGACAUUUCAGGACUGGGAAGAGACCUCCCUGAUAAAACUUCACAGAAAUUUGUCAAGAAGAUCAGGAUUGCUGAAAAUCACAGAACAAAGUGUUUAAAAGUGGAGCAGGAAUAUCAAGUUAAAAGGUGUUCACAGCCCUGGGGGUUGGGCCUUUUCCAUGAGCAGUACAAAUGCUGACAUGCAAAUAUCUGGGGGUUUAUUAGACUGAUGCCAGAUUUCUUUUCAGUGAAGGAGUGGAUUUCUGGCUUAGGGAAGGGACAACCAGAUGAUGUAAUUGUGCAAUAAUUAUUUUAAUCUAAAUUAUAACUUCAUCCAGUUCUAUAUCUGCUUCUGGCAUUGAUACACCUCUUCCUACCCACUCCUUCAACCCAACAUGUCUUUGUUGCCAGGUCUAUCCCUAAAAUCUCUGCAUUUUUCACACUAAUGACUGUACCCUGCUUUAGGACUGGCUCCAGUCUGUCCCUUUAGUCAUUUACCUGAAAAUCCUGUAUUAAUUGUUACAUCAAAACCUGGGGGGACAACAAAACAAAAGCUGCAGCAUUUAAAUGAUUAUGUAAGAAUAGUAAAGAUAUAUUCCCAUAUAACUCUUUGAAGAAAUACUUCUUUUUGUGCAGGGGAAGUUUGGGAUGAUAAAAAACUCAGCAUCUCCUCAAAUGACUUGUCUUUAUACUAACUUGAAUAUUGAAUUGUCAAGGGUUGGAUAGAAAGGCAAAUUAUACAUUAAUGUAAUACAAAUAAAUUAUAUAUUUGCUUGUAACAAUUAAGCUUGUUCUUAAUAAGUCUGCUCCACUAAUUUGUGAGUGAUUUCCUUGGGCAGCACGUUGAAAUCAAACUAGAUAUGAAAUAACAAAUGAGUAUUAGUCCUGAUUAAAAAUAUCUGUAUUAAAAGCAGAUACAUGCACAUAAAUAUACAUAUAGAUGUGUGUAUCUACUUGCUGAAUGACAUUUUAAAUUGUGCUAAUGUAGAACUCCUGCUCAUACACAAAAGAGAAGCAACACUACUUUGAUCAACAGUAAAAUAUAUAUUAAUUACAAAGCAUCUUGCAGUUACAAAAGGAACAUUACCUACUCACUGAUGGUGUUGUUUGAUGCCAGUGAAGUCCUGACCUGCACAAUGUGUCUCCUGCAGUGACACCGAGUGCCCUUCACCUGCUUUUAUACCAGCCCAGGGAGCACAGAGACAAUGGGCAUCAUCCCUGUGACUAAGGCCUUUCCUCUCGUGUCACUGAAAUGAGACAGCUCCCUGUUCCCACUGAGAAUAAAUCCUGGAUUCUAAAAUGUUCAGCUGUGACUAAGGCAAUCACAACUUCAUGGGCAGUUUGUUAUUCCUUUGCUGUCUCUCCUGUUCUGUGUGAACUUGAUUUUACCACAAGGUUCCUGUGUCCCAAGGUGAUGGUGAACCCUGUUGUGCCAGGGUUGAUCAGGAAAAGGGUCUCUGGAUGCAGAAGAGAUCUCCCUCCUUUGCUGUCCCUGUGGACUCACGUGUGGGACACCGGAUUUGGGUAGGAGGAAUCUAAAUUAUUAAUACUGACCAGAAUUCCUGUGAGCUGCUGAGUGCUGUGUGUGGAAAACCAGACCCCGCCCUGCCGAGAGGAAACGGUUUGACCACAGUCCUGGUAAAUAUAGUUCCCCUGAGCUGCUGGUGGAGCAGCAGCUGAUGAAGGGCUGCUCUCCCUUCCUGGCCUCCCUCACCCAGAGAUGGGAGGAAAUGACACCUCGCAGCAAACCCCAAGGCCACAAAGACUUUGGCACCUCCACACUCACACCUCGAGGUGGUUCAGGGGCGUCACCAGCAGCCAGCAGCACCUUUGCUUCCAUAACCAUUUAAAGAGGUGGAUUUCAGCUCCUAGGAGCAGGUUCCAGGCUUUUCCAUUUUGCUUUGGGUGCUUUUAGCUUCUCUGUGUCACCUCCUUGUUGCUGGAGGACAGUCCUGUGCCAGUAAUACCAUUUGGGAGGGGGGUAAACACCAGGAGCAGUUUGAGAUCUUGGCCCCUAAUCCACUACAUACUGCAUCAUUCCAGAGAGAACUCCCAUCUUCCAGGGAAUUAAAAUUAGAGUUGAAUAGCAGUGAGUCAGACUCUCUGUUUUCCUUUCCCAUUUUCUGAUUUCAAGCCAGAUUUACAGAAGCUCCUGGGACUGGCAGCUCUGUCAGAACACAGUAGCAAGGGUGAGUGUUUUGUCCUUCAAAACCUGCCCUGCAGCCAAGCCUGGGGCUGACUCUAUUUUUCCUUCCCCAUAACAGUUUCCAGAUGGGAUAUUUUCUGUGUGCAAAACAAAUUCAGGUGAAGCUGAGACAAAGCCUCAGGUCCCUUGUGCUGCUUCUAUAACACUCCCUGGGCUCUGUGAGUUAAUCCCUGGUUCCACAGCCUUGCAGUGCCUGGAGGUCUCCUGAGAACCUCACUCAAGCAAAAGCAAAACACAAGGAGAUGUGUCUCCCUGUUCCAUGGGGCCUGUCCCCCUGAAAAGGAGCUCUGUGGGAUCUGCCCCUGCAAGAGAAUGUCACCCUCUGCUGCCCACACCUUGGAGUGGGACCCCAACAGUGGCAGAAGGCUCACACCUGGAAAGAUGGGGAUGAAGGACGAGCAACUAAAAGUCUCCAAAUAACAUGUUAUUCAAAUAAACAAACUUUUCACUAAUUAAUCCCCAAGUGCUGAGUCUUGGGGAUGUGCUGUGCCCCUGCACUGGGAGCUGAGUCUCUUAGUUUAGGUCUGUGAUGCAAAAAUCACAGUUUGUUGUUUCACUCUCCCUUUAGAUGAGGUCUGAGGUGCAGCUAAAAACUUUCACAGUGUAAAAAUACAUAUGUUUUAAAAGUGAGGGAAUAAAGGAUAGGGACCUUAUGCUGUAAACACAAGAAUUUGUAGGAAUAAGCUCACUCAAGCUGGUUGUAAUAUAUCUAAAUAUCUAUCUA